GCCGGCAGCUGGCUCUCUGCAACUCUUACAUGGUGGCCCACUAAAGCUAAGCUGCGCCCGGUCAGUACCUGGAUGGGAGACCACAUGGGAAAGCUGGGUUGCUGCUGAAA
rnacentral:rRNA from 1 species